GACGAACGCUGGCGGCGUGGAUUAGGCAUGCAAGUCGGACGGUAGUGGCCUUUCGGGGUCAUGAGAGUGGCGAACGGGUGAGUAACGCGUAGGUGAUCAACCUUCAGGUGGGGGACAACCCGGGGAAACCCGGGCUAAUACCGCAUGUGGCAGAGAUGUCAAAGCCGGCCUCUGAAUGUAAGCUGGUGCCUGGAGCUGAGCCUGCGUCUGAUUAGCUAGUUGGUGGGGUAACGGCCUACCGAGGCGAUGAUAAGUAGGCGGCUUUAACGAGUGGUCGCCCACACUGGGAUUGAGAAACGGCCCAGACUCCUACGGGUGGCAG
rnacentral:rRNA from 1 species